rnacentral:rRNA from 1 species
GAUGAACGCUAGCUACAGGCUUAACACAUGCAAGUCGCGGGGCAGCAUGGGGGUUGCUUGCAAUCCCCGAUGGCGACCGGCGCACGGGUGAGUAACGCGUAUCCAACCUGCCCUUCACCACGGGAUAACCCGGCGAAAGUCGGACUAAUACCGUAUGUUGUCCAUUGACGGCAUCCGAUUUGGACGAAAGGUUUGGCGGUGAAGGAUGGGGAUGCGUCAGAUUAGCUGGACGGCGGGGUGACGGCCCACCGUGGCGACGAUCGGUAGGGGUUCUGAGAGGAAGGUCCCCCACACUGGAACUGAGACACGGUCCAGACUCCUACGGGAGGCAGCAGUGAGGAAUAUUGGUCAAUGGGCGUAAGCCUGAACCAGCCAAGUAGCGUGCAGGAUGACGGCCCUAUGGGUUGUAAACUGCUUUUAUGCGGGGAUAAAGUGGCCCACGUGUGGGUUUUUGCAGGUACCGCAUGAAUAAGGACCGGCUAAUUCCGUG